AGCCUUUUUUGGAAUUUUUUGGAAUGCCAAAAGGGAUUUGGCGUGGACUCUUGGGUGCCCUCUUCCUUGGAUAAAAAUCCUAGACCUUGCCUAUAAAAAGGGUGGCCCUCUUCUUGGCAUCAUAUCAAUUCCUUCUUUGCUGAUUUUUGUUUUUCUAGAGCUCUUCUCUUCUUCCUCUCUUCCUCCUCCAGAUCUCUUCAUCCUUUGGAGUGUCCAAAGUACUUGAAGAAGAAGGAAGAAAUUAACCAUCACAGAUCCUUGCUAGCUAGCAUCUCCAGGACCCUGAUCUGCGCCAGUCUUCAUGUGAAUUUUUUGUAGAGGUCAGAUGACUUCGUGUGGUACAAG
rnacentral:lncRNA from 1 species